AACGAACGCUGGCGGCAUGCCUAACACAUGCAAGUCGAACGAGAGCUCCGGGAGUAGUGGCGCAUGGGGGCGGAGCGCGGGGGAACGGGCCCGUAGGCUCGGGAUAACUCUCUGUAAGGGGGGCUAAUAUCGGGAAAUGUCCUCGGACAAAAGAUUUAUCUUCUGGGGAGGGGCGGGCGUUGGUCUACCUGGUUGGGAGGGGAAAAGCCGAUCAAGGCGACGAUCGAUAGCGGGUCUGAGAGGCUGGUCAGCCACACUUGGGCUGAGACACGGCCCGGACUCCUGCGGGAGGCGGCAGUGCGGGAUAUUGGACAACCGGCGGAAGCCUGAUCCCGCACUGCCGCGUGAGUGAUGAUGGCGUUAGAGUUGUAAAGCUCUUUUACCCGGGAUGGUAAUGACGGUACCGGGAGAAUAAGCUCCGGCUAACUCCGUG
rnacentral:rRNA from 1 species